rnacentral:rRNA from 1 species
AACUUAAAGGAAUUGACGGGGGCCCGCACAAGCGGAGGAACAUGUGGUUUAAUUCGAUGAUACGCGAGGAACCUUACCUGGGCUUAAAUGGGGAGUGACAGCUGUCGAAAGAUGGUUUUCUUCGGACACUCUUCAAGGUGCUGCAUGGUUGUCGUCAGCUCGUGCCGUGAGGUGUCGGGUUAAGUCCCAUAACGAGCGCAACCCUUACCGUUAGUUACCAUCAGGUUAAGCUGGGGACUCUAGCGGGACUGCCACCGUAAGGUGAGAGGAAGGUGGGGAUGACGUCAAAUCAGCACGGCCCUUAUGUCCAGGGCUACACACGUGUUACAAUGGCCGGUACAAAGGGCAGCUACUUCGCGAGAAGAUGCUAAUCUCGAAAGCCGGUCUCAGUUCGGAUCGAAGUCUGCAACCCGACUUCGUGAAGCUGGAUUCGCUAGUAAUCGCGCAUCAGCCAUGGCGCGGUGAAUACGUUCCCGGGCCUU